AGCAGCCGCGGUAAUUCCAGCUCCAAUAGCGUAUAUUAAAGUUGUUGCAGUUAAAAAGCUCGUAGUUGAAUUUCGAGACCGGUCUACUGGUCGUGCUUUUGUACGUUCUGGUAUAAUCGGUUUCUCUCUUCUGACGAACUAUAAUGCCAUUAAUUUGGUGUUUUAGGGAAUCAGGACUGUUACUUUGAAAAAAUUAGAGUGUUUAAAGCAGGCUCACGCUUGAAUACAUUAGCAUGGAAUAACGAAAUAGGACGUUUGAUUCUAUUUUGUUGGUUUCUAGGAUCGACGUAAUGAUUAAUAGGGAUAGUUGGGGGCAUUAGUAUUCAAUUGUCAGAGGUGAAAUUCUUGGAUUUAUUGAAGACUAACUACUGCGAAAGCAUUUGCCAAGGAUGUUUUCAUUAAUCAAGAACGAAAGUUAGGGGAUCGAAGACGAUCAGAUACCGUCGUAGUCUUAACCAUAAAUUAUGCCGACUAGGGAUCGGAUGAUGUUAAAUUAAUGACUCAUUCGGCACCUUACG
rnacentral:rRNA from 1 species